GUCUACUGUCAUACCACCCUCAAUGUGCCAAAUCUCACCUGAUCUCAUAAACUAAGCGCCUUGGCCCGGUUAGUACUUGGAAUGGGAGACCCCUGUGAAUAUCAGGUGCUAUAGACU
rnacentral:rRNA from 1 species